CCGGACGUGCAGGUUGUAUCCUCUCUGACGGUGAGACAUGAAGCUCACAGCUCGGUGAUACAACAGUGGUGGACUGACUGAGUUCUUGGUACAUGUCUAGUCAGACCAGCAGUGAACCUGGAUGUCCCCCUGCACAUCUGUGGACAAAGCAAGGGAAACAGCAUAAAGACAAACAUCUACUACCUUGAUGUAGCUAAAUCACAGCUACAGAGGCAGCUGCUCAGUUGUUAGCUUGUGUAACAGUUGGGAUUGUCUGCCAGCAUCAGACAGAGACAGUUCACACCUCCACCUGCAGCAUGAGUGAGCUUACAGACUUUGAGAAAGGCCAAAUAGUUGGUGCCCGGGCAGCAGGUCUGUCUGUCAGAGAAACUGCCCAGUUAUGUGAUGUAUCGGGUCGAACUGUUCUCAAGGUUAUGAGUGCUUAUAACAUGUACGGACAUACUGCAUCUGCAAAGAAGAACAGCAAGCGCAAGCCAAAGAGGAAACGGGCAAAAGCUGAAGCAGCUCCCUUGGAGAAACCAGUAGCUGAGUCUGAGAUCGACACUCAAAACCCAGAGAAAGCGAGCGAGACACCUGAAGCUCAGACCAAAGACAAAGAAUAACUUGGUCUGAUAUGCCGUAUUUGAGACAUUGUUAUUAUUUAGACUCUGUAAUGUUUGUAUCUAAAAAAGGCACAGCAUGUCUUUAUUUAACCCACAGUUUUUCAUACUUCUGAACAGUUUCAUCCAAGUUUGAGUUUUUGAGUUUGUGUGCGUGCGUGUGUGUGUAAGGUUUGAAAAUGUUCUGUUACUGUUCUGUCAGCAAAGGGACAUUUCCAGGCUCUCUAGAUCAAUAAGUUUAGUUCAAUUUAAACCAGUGGCAUUUGUCUGUUUGUGGAUGCAGCUGUCAGAUGUUUUCUGUCCAACUUACUGAUGAAGGGAAUACACAAAUGGAAAAUUAAAUGAAAUUGUAACAGUUUUCAGAAGCGUUUAAUUUAAGCUCCACAAUGACAGCAUGCACACACAGUAAAACUGAUAUUGUCUAGAGUUUUUCUCCCUAUGUGCUCACACUAAUCAGUGUGUUCAGCUGACAGUUGUAUCCUGCCUGCAGUCCACAGAGGCUCAUGUGCUGACGUAUGUUUAUGAGUUUGCUGAGUCAACAUGUUGACCUGGACCAGUUUUGUUAAUUCAGAAUCAUAAGAAUGUGUUGUAUUUUUUUCAGUUUUUGGAGCGACAUUACCAGUGCAUCUAUACUGUGCUGUGAUUCCAUUAAGAGGAAAUACAUGUUCUCCUCUCUGUCUGUGUCUUCCAUCCUUUUCCUGUGUUGGGUCACUGUUCUGACCACCAGUUGUGAAUUGUUUCAUUAGUCUCCCAUGGUAGAUUAAUUGAUAAUAAAUAAUCCUUAGUUGCAGUCCUGAGUCCCUGCCAGUCUGUUCUGGAGAGUACUGUUUUGACCACUGGUUGUGUUCAUACUUUGACACCCCCUCCCCCCCAGAAAUACUUUUUUUGUGAUGUUUAGACCUUUGACCUCUACUCUGUGUCAUGAUCAUCAGAAACAGCAGCAGGUGAAAAACAGGGUGGCUGUUGACUGCUUCAAAAACAAAUUAGCCCUGAUAGUUGGGGCAGUGCCUUAAAUUUUUUUUUUUUUUUUUUUUUUUUUGAUAAUGAAAAUAUGACUUGUAGCACUAAUUUGUUUACCUCAGAAUAAGUGACUUCUCGUGUAGAACUUGAAUUAUAUACCUUUAAACAUUUGGAGCAAGAAUAACAGAACAAGUGCCACACCAAAGUUAAGAACUGAGAGCUGUCGGGAAGUUGACACAACCCUUUUAUUCUGAAAAUUCUUACCGGAUGUGUCAAUGUUAUUCUCCCUGGGGAAACGCAAACACAACAUCAGCGGAGGACAGGCAGACUUCUUGGUACAUUUGCAGUUACCAACGAGGACACUGUGAAACCUCAACAGCUUGUCAGUGGAUCCCUGGAUCUUUCUGCCUAAGGGUAUAAAAUAAUGGAAACACCACAUGACAGAGGACUUUUGAGCACUUGAGUAGCAAUAACAAAACCGACUGCCUGUCUGUUGGCUCUAAAAAAACAAAAAAAAGACAGUCAACACUUGUAUAGAAGUGCCCAAAGCAGUAUGAGUGACUUAACAGAGUUUGAAAGAUGCCAGAUAGUUGCUGCACGACUUUCUGGUGCAUCUGUCACAAAAACUGCACAGCUGUUCAAUGUUGCAAGAGGAACAGUCUCGAGAGUCAUGACUGUAUACAUUAAACAUGGAAGAACAGCAUCAGCAAAGAAGAACAGCGGGCGCAAGUCAAAGCUUACUGAAAAGGAUAGACAAACACUUCUCAGGAUAGUUGAUGAACACCCUGAGUAUACAGCCUCAAAAAUAACCUCAGAGUUGAACAGACACCUCUCUCACACUGUCUCCGUUAAAACCAUACGGCGUGAGCUUCACAAAGCUGGUAUUUUUAGAGGAGGAGCCAAUCGGAAGCCAGAGACUGACACGCAAAAGCCAGAUGAAAAGAACAUGAAACCUGAACUAAACAAGGAGUGUAACUCACAUAAAACACCUGAAAUGCAAACAAAUGCCAAAGAGUGUAGUGGACAAAAGGAAUUGGGAGAACCCCAAGCAAGCGUUGAAGAGUACAACACAGGAAAAAAUCUGAAGAGAGAAUACAGCCUGAAGCCAAUGUCAGUGAAGAGGAGUCCAGCACACAAAAGUCUGGUGAAGAGAGCAUAGGACCUGAAUCCCAGACAGGUGAAAAAGACUCACAAAAGUAUGAUGACAAGACCACAGGACCUGAACCUCAGAUCAGUGAAAUGGAAUAACAUGGUCUGAUGUAUUGGAUUUCAGCCUUUUUAAUACAUCUUUGGUCAUGUUAAGGGAAAACCACAGAAUGCCUUCAUCCCCUAAUGUUGCCAACUAUUGGAUGUGCUCAUGGAUCUUUAAUGAUGUUUGAAUUUUGUAGAUUUUAUUAUUAUUUUUGCAUGAAUGCAUUAUAGUGCAAUGUUGAUGCUUUUUUGCAAUUUUUUUUAUUUUUUUCUGGUUUACAAGCAAAUAUCAUACCUUCAAUGUAGAUUAUUGAGAAUUAACUUAAAUUGUUGAAAAUAAACGUAGUGCCAGUGUUAAAUAGUAUAUAUUAUGGUAUUGUUUUAAUACAAAACACUCAAUUCGGUACACAUAAUGAAUCACAAAAUUCAGGGUUUGUUUUGUAGUUUAUAGACCAAUGCCAUGCUGCUGUUUUUAACUAUAUCUCAUCAUUUCAUUUGUACUGUAAAGCAUGGCCUUUUUGAUGUUCUCUCAGAAAAACCUCUUGUAAUGGUGUGAAACCAUGUAGCAAGUGCAAGCCCAUUAAAGCCUUCAAACAUACUCCCUCUACUGGUUCAAAAAGUCAUACUGUGUUGAAGUUAACAUACAAACUCCCAUGUUUGCAGUUGAAGAACUCCACAAUGUGUAACUUCUAACACACCUUGGUAUAUAAUGUUUAAUAGUGGGGAUAUUAAGGUGUAUUAAGAAAUGUGCUGUGUUUUAUGGCUUAUUUAACAGAUGUCUCAGACUAUUGUGCUAAACUCUUGAUUUUUGAGUUCAGGAAAGUAACAGUGUUGGUGUUGAGCUUCAAACCCAAACUCUUUGUUUCAGAAUGUCCUUAAGAAAACAAUGGGAUGGCAGUUUUGUCUACUUUAGUCAGGCACAUUUACCAGUAUACACUUAAUCUUUUCUGCAAAUGUACUGAGUGAUGGUUGCUGACCCCACCAUAAGCUGUUGAAUCUCAAUCAUCAAAGACUAAAUUGAACAUGUUUCUAGAGCCUGCAUGUGCAUGGCUGUAGCAGAGAGGGGAAUGGCACACAAAGCAUAAGACAGCACUGUAAUGAUUGUACUGCAUAUUAAAACACGACACAAAAAGUUUCAA